ensembl:lncRNA
UUAAACGGCACACCUGCGCUCACAUUUCUUAUAGUAGCACACUAAUAAAAGUGUGGCACGGGAACUCAGACGGUCGUUUAUACCUUAAAACCACAGAUAUGUAAUAUAUAGAUAUAACGUAUAUUUAUAUCUUUAUAUAUACAUGUAAAAUGAACUGUCUGAGUUCGAAUAAAUGAAUAACGUGGUGAAGUUUAUCUAGUUAGACCGUGGUAAAACCCCACCUGUUCUACCGUUGUCUCGAGCGGCUUUCCAGACUCGACGUGACGUCACACACGCCGUAUCCCGAGCGCUCCCCCCCUCCACCUCUGAGCGCGUGGUCCUGGUCGCGAGCACAUGGAAGUGAGGUUUGAGAUUUGUGUCUGAGAGACGUUCGAGCGACUGUCGGGAAAACGGAAUAUAAAGUGAAUUAAAGAAGCAGCCCGAGCAGCCCGGUACGAUUUGAUUAAUGUGGGUUUUGGCUCGUCUGGACAGAAACAUCAGCAAGGACACUGUGGACGUAAAAUGCUUCUGCUGCUGCUGCUGUGAUGGUGGUGUUGCAGACCCCCCAUGCAGGCCAGAUCUUUCUGCAGCUUCUGCACCGACACAUGAUCUGACUAGGAAGGAUGCAAAGGUGGAAGCAGACCGUGCUGGAUUUAGUUUCACAGCAUCUUACUGGAGCAAACGCACACAACAUACUGCAAGGUUUUCAGUAGUAUCUACUUCCCCCUUUUUUUUUCUUUUUUUUGUUUGAGAGGACACGGAUACACCCUGACUGGGCCCCUGUAGUGCUCUACAUUGUGGUUGGGAAGUACCUAGUUUUACAACUGUCAUGCUGGCCUGCUUAAAGGGACAGUGCUGAUCAAUUCGAAGCACAUAUUCAGGGGUCUUUUAGUCACCCUAACAAGGGGGUCACAUGGAUGUUUGAGUCGUCAUUCCUCAUGUGAGGAAUGUGCAGUCCGAAGAGCCGCUUUCUGCAUCAAGCACUGCAUAAAAAUACUGAUUGAUAUUUGUUAAAAGAAUGUCUUUAAUAAAAAGUUGAAUUGAAUUGGGUGUGAGAGUUUCCUGCUUUUGAAAAACGAAAGAGAGAAGACUCACAACUCUACAGGUUCUUUUUAGUCUGAAUGCAUAGUGGAUUUGUUUU